rnacentral:lncRNA from 1 species
CAAAUGAGGUGAAUAAAUAAAGCUAUGCUUAAAAUAGUUAACUACAUGCCUAGAUUUAAAGGCUGAUGGCCCAGCUGUUAGUACCAACAAAAAUCCCAGGAAAGCUAUAUGUAGCAUUAUCAGAUUGUGGUCAUGGAAAAGCCAAGCAAUACAAUUGCAUGGUGCUUUUCACUCUGUAGACAGAUGUAGGGCAUGCUCAAAAAUCAGAAAGCACAUUCCUGAGCCUAUGGGUUUAUCACCUUAAAAAAUUUAUCCAAAAAAAAAAAAAAAAAAGAUAAAAGGAGUUCCUGUCAUGGCUCAGCAUAAACAAAUGAAUCUGACUAGUAUCCAUGAGGAUCCAUGAGGCAAUCCCUGACCUUGCUCGGUGAGUUAAGGAUCCAACGUUGCUGUGAGCUGUGGUGUAGGAUGCAGAUUCGGCUCAGAUCUCAUGUUGCUGUGGCUGUAGUGUAGGCCGGUGGCUAUAGCUCUGAUUCAUCCCCUAGCCUGGGAACCUCCAUAUGUUGUGGGCGUGGCCCUAAAAAGACAAAAAAAAUUGACUCCAUUGAAGAAAAUACUAAGUUUAUACCAAUAAGGUAGAGAAAUAAUAAAAUCUUCAUUAAGAUUAGAAAAAUGUAAACAUCUAACAAUAUUUAGAAAUAUAUUUCUCUAAAUUUUUCCUUUAAAUUUUCUUUCCUUUAAACUUGAUGACCAUUUGAAUGCCUAAUUUUGCAAGUCCUUGUGCUAGCCAAAGGCGAUAUAAAUGCCAGGCGAUAUAAACGUCUUUCAAGGAACAGUCUGUGGGUAGAGAUCAGACAAUUAAAAGUGUUUAAAAUGCAUUUAUAUAUUUAUUGCAAUCAUAUGCAAUAAUGUACAAAAUAACGCCUUGUAGACCUUAAAUUUACCCAAUGUUAUAUGUCAAUUACAUCUCAAAGAUACUUAUCAUAGCGUCAGGGCUAUGAUAAGAGUAGUUGAUUUACAAUAUUGUCCCAAUUUCUGCUAUACAGCAAAGUGACCCAGUCAGACAUAUAUGUAUCCCCUUACAUUACCCUCCAUCAUGGUCUGGCUAUGGCACCCUGUGCUAUACAGUAGGACCUUAUUUCUUAUCUAUUCUAAAUGUAAUAAUUUGCAUCUACUAACCCCAAACUCCCAGUUCAACUCCCUCCCUCCCUCUUUCCCCUUGGCAACCACAAGACUGUCCUCUGUGUCUGUGAGUCUGUUUCUGUUUUGUAGAUAGGUUCAUUUGUGCCAUAUUAGAUUCCAAAUAUAACUGAUAUCAUAUGGCAUUUGUCUUUCUCUUUCUGACUUCACUUGGUAUGAAAAUCUCUAGUUCCAUCCAUGUUGCUGCAAAUGGCAUUAUUUUGUUCUUUUUUAUGUCUGAGUAGUAUUCCACUGUGUAUAUGUACCCACAUCUUCUGAAUCCAUUCAUCUGUUGAUGGACAUUCAUGUUGUUUCUUUGUCUUGGCUAUUGUGAAUAGUGCUGCAAUGAGCAUACAGGUGCAUGCAUUUUUUAAAUGAAAAUUUAGUCCAGAUAUAUGCCCAGGAGCGGGUUAGCUGGAUCAUAUGUUAGUUCUAUGUUUAGUUUUCUGAGGGUCCUCUAUACUAUUUUCCAUAGUGGUUGUACCAGUUUACAUCCUCAUCAACAGUGUAGGAAGGUUCUCUUUUUCCACACCUCUCCAGCAUUUGUUAUUUACAGACUUAUUAAUGAUGGACAUUGUGACUGGUAUGAGGUGGUACCUCACUGUAGUUUUUAUUUGCAUUUCUCUAAUAAUUAGUGAUUUUGAGCAUCUUUUCUGUGCCUAUUUGCAAUCUCUAUGUGUUCCUUGAAUAAAUGUCUGCCUAUUUUUCGAAUGGGUUGUUUGUUUUGUUGUUGUUGUUGAGUUUAUGAGUUAUUUGUAGAUUUUGGAAGUUAAUCCCUUAUCAGGUCAUGUUGUUUUCAAAUAUUUUCUCUCAUUCUUUAGGCUGUAUUUUCGAUUUACUUAUGGUUUCCUUUUCUGUGCAAACGCUUGCAAAUCUGAUGAGGUCUCUUUUAUUUAUUUUGUUUUAUUUUUAUUGCUUGGGAGACCCAACCUAAGAAAGUCAGAGAAUGUUUUGUCUAUGUUUUCUUGUAGGAGUUUUAUGGUUUCAUAUCUUAUGUUUAAAUCUUUAAGCUGUUUUCACUUUAUUUUUGUGCAUGGUGUGAGGGUAUUUUCUAGUUUCUUUAAGUUGAGGUCUUAAAGUUUAUGUUAACCAGACAGAACAAAAAAAAAAGCAGGCCAGUCAGAGGCAACAUGAUGUGCAGCAAGCCUGGAAUUAAGAGAUGGCUUAAAUAUUAGAACCAAACAAACAAAGACGCCAAAGCAGUGUCCCUGACAGAUUAAGAUAAUCUGAUUAAAAAUUGUAAGCUAUCUACAAAAAAAGAAAAAUGCUUUACAAAUAUGGGACAAUCUAUAUAUAUAUAAAU